CGCCUACGGAAGCCUCUUGGGCAUCCUGCCGUGCUCCCGCGUCACGUGACUGCCGACCGGUCGCCGGGGUAACCAGUGACCUGGUCCCAGACCCUGCAGCCCGGAAGCCCCAGCUGGCUGGGCGCCAGCGCAACCCGGCCGCUCUCCCCGCGGAGACCUCAAACCUGAGGGGCGUCCCUGACGUGGCGGAGUCGCCCAUCCCUUCCGCAUCUCACUCGCCUUAUCUGGAACGCCCACUUGGCGGCCUGCUGGAUCCAACGAGAUCAUGAGAUCUCAAAAGGCUUUGGAAAUAGUGCAUGUCUCUAGAAAUGCCCGUAUCUAUUGUGUCAGAUACUGAGCAAGGGAUCUUCGAGAAGAACAAGAGUGUUUGUUUUCAAGGAGCUUAUGUCUAGCAGGGAAGCAAGAUCUGGACAAGCAGACGCAGACAGGGACACACAGGGAAGAGCCAUGUGAUGACAGACGCAGCCUGGAGUGAUGCAGCUGCAAGCCAAGGAGUGCCAAGGGCUGCUGGCCACUAUCAGAAGCUAGAAAGGGAUAAGGAAGAAUUCUACCCAGAGUCUCAGAGGGACCAUGUGAUAUUGUGAAACAUGUAUCUGGUCUUCAUACAUUUCAUGGUAUAAAAUUCCUAAACUUUUGGAAUCUUCAAA